rnacentral:rRNA from 1 species
UAGGGAAUCUUCCGCAAUGGGCGAAAGCUUGACGGAGCAACGCCGCGUGAGUGAUGAAGGUCUUCGGAUCGUAAAACUCUGUUAUUAGGGAAGAACAAAUGUGUAAGUAACUAUGCACGUCUUGACGGUACCUAAUCAGAAAGCCACGGCUAACUACGUGCCAGCAGCCGCGGUAAUACGUAAGGUCCGAGCGUUGUCCGGAAUCAUUGGGCGUAAAGGGUACGUAGGCGGGUAAGCAAGUUAGAAGUGAAAUCCUAUAGCUCAACUAUAGUAAGCUUUUAAAACUGCUCAUCUUGAGGUAUGGAAGGGAAAGUGGAAUUCCUAGUGUAGCGGUGAAAUGCGCAGAUAUUAGGAGGAAUACCGGUGGCGAAGGCGACUUUCUGGCCAUAACCUGACGCUGAGGUACGAAAGCGUGGGUAGCAAACAGG